ACCAACAAACAAACCUGGAAACAAAAACUCAAAGACAACCAGACCAGAAACCAAAAAUGUUUCACCAACCUUUCAAGCCACUCCCGGAAACAAGGACCCAAAGCAAACAGUUGGGAGCAGGAGAACUUCUGACACAACAAAUCAAGGAGGGAAGGUUAAAACAACCACGCAACCUGGAAGCAAACAGUUUAAAACAACCCAACCAGGAACAGACAAUCCUCCACCA